AAGUCGUAACAAGGUAACCGUAGGUGAACCUGCGGUUGGAUCAUUAAAAAAUUUUGGUUCUUGUAACCAUCACCUUGUGUGCUGCAAUCGCCGUCCCUUUUGGGAGGUCCGUGCUUGGAGAGGUUCGAGUUCACUCUCUUCCCUCCACCGCUCCCAAUGUCUUUUUCCAACCAACCUCUUGUUUUUUUUUAAUUUAUUAUUUCCAUAUGUCUCACCUAUGUGAAUGUAUGAAAACAACUUUUGACAACGGAUCUCUUGGCUCUC
rnacentral:misc_RNA from 1 species